rnacentral:rRNA from 1 species
GUGGGGAAUAUUGCACAAUGGGGGAAACCCUGAUGCAGCGACGCCGCGUGAGUGAAGAAGUAUUUCGGUACGUAAAGCUCUAUCAGCAAGGAAGAAAAUGACGGUACUUGACUAAGAAGCCCCGGCUAACUACGUGCCAGCAGCCGCGGUAAUACGUAGGGGGCAAGCGUUAUCCGGAUUUACGGGGUGUAAAGGGAGCGUAGACGGUAUGGUAAGUCAGAUGUGAAAGCCCGGGGCUCAACCCCGGGACUGCAUUUGAAACUAUCAGACUAGAGUGCAGGAGAGGUAAGUGGAAUUCCUAGUGUAGCGGUGAAAUGCGUAGAUAUUAGGAGGAACACCAGUGGCGAAGGCGGCUUACUGGACUGUAACUGACGUUGAGGCUCGAAAGCGUGGGGAGCAAACAGGAUUAGAUACCCGUGUAGUCC